ACAGGGGCGCUGGCGGAAGCUGGCUGAGAUUGAACAUAUUCUUGUCCAUGUCCCUUGACCUGAUCUGGGUAAUGCCAGCGUAGGAAGUUGU
rnacentral:ncRNA from 1 species